rnacentral:rRNA from 1 species
UGACUGAGUGGCGGACGGGUGAGUAACGCGUGGGUAACCUGCCUCAUACAGGGGGAUAACAGUUAGAAAUGACUGCUAAUACCGCAUAAGCGCACAGUGCUGCAUGGCACAGUGUGAAAAACUCCGGUGGUAUGAGAUGGACCCGCGUCUGAUUAGCUAGUUGGUGGGGUAACGGCCUACCAAGGCGACGAUCAGUAGCCGGCCUGAGAGGGUGAACGGCCACAUUGGGACUGAGACACGGCCCAAACUCCUACGGGAGGCAGCAGUGGGGAAUAUUGCACAAUGGGGGAAACCCUGAUGCAGCGACGCCGCGUGAGCGAAGAAGUAUUUCGGUAUGUAAAGCUCUAUCAGCAGGGAAGAAAAUGACGGUACCUGACUAAGAAGCACCGGCUAAAUACGUGCCAGCAGCCGCGGUAAUACGUAUGGUGCAAGCGUUAUCCGGAUUUACUGGGUGUAAAGGGAGCGUAGACGGUUGUGUAAGUCUGAUGUGAAAGCCCGGGGCUCAACCCCGGGACUGCAUUGGAAACUAUGUAACUAGAGUGUCGGAGAGGUAAGCGGAAUUCCUAGUGUAGCGGUGAAAUGCGUAGAUAUUAGGAGGAACACCAGUGGCGAAGGCGGCUUACUGGACGAUCACUGACGUUGAGGCUCGAAAGCGUGGGGAGCAAACAGG